UUCCACAGCUACUGGUCUGAAACUGUUCUGAACUGUAGCAGUUGCGGUAUUCCAUCUGUGGGAAAUAAACUGUUGCACAGUAUCACACUCCUUUCUCAGACCUGAUGAAAGGGACUCCUGUGUAACAGACAAAA
rnacentral:snoRNA from 1 species